rnacentral:rRNA from 1 species
GUGAGGAAUCUUCCACAAUGGGCGAAAGCCUGAUGGAGCAACGCCGCGUGAAGGAUGAAGGUCUUCGGAUUGUAAACUUCUUUUAUGAGUGAAGAAUAUGACGGUAACUCAUGAAUAAGCACCGGCUAACUACGUGCCAGCAGCCGCGGUCAUACGUAGGGUGCAAGCAUUAUCCGGAGUGACUGGGCGUAAAGAGUUGCGUAGGCGGUUAUGUAAGCGAAUAGUGAAACCUGGUGGCUCAACCACACAGACUAUUAUUCGAACUGCAUAACUCGAGAAUGGUAGAGGUAACUGGAAUUUCUUGUGUAGGAGUGAAAUCCGUAGAUAUAAGAAUGAACACCAAUGGCGUAGGCAGGUUACUGGGCCAUUUCUGACGCUAAGGCACGAAAGCGUGGGGAGCGAACCGGAUUAGAAACCCGAGUAGUCC